rnacentral:rRNA from 1 species
GAUGAACGCUGGCGGCGUGCUUAACACAUGCAAGUCGAACGGUGAAGGCGGAGCUUGCUCUGCUGGAUCAGUGGUGAACGGGUGAGUAACACGUGAGCAAUCUGCCCCUGACUCUGGGAUAAGCGCUGGAAACGGCGUCUAAUACUGGAUACGAGCUGCGAAGGCAUCUUCAGCAGCUGGAAAGAAUUUCGGUCAGGGAUGAGCUCGCGGCCUAUCAGCUUGUUGGUGAGGUAAUGGCUCACCAAGGCGUCGACGGGUAGCCGGCCUGAGAGGGUGACCGGCCACACUGGGACUGAGACACGGCCCAGACUCCUACGGGAGGCAGCAGUGGGGAAUAUUGCACAAUGGGCGAAAGCCUGAUGCAGCAACGCCGCGUGAGGGACGACGGCCUUCGGGUUGUAAACCUCUUUUAGCAGGGAAGGAGCGAAAGUGACGGUACCUGCAGAAAAAGCGCCGGCUAACUACGUG